AUUCAGCUGAUGAGUCUCAAAUAGGACGAAAUGCGCAUCCUGAAU
rnacentral:hammerhead_ribozyme from 1 species